GUACCUGGAGCGCUGGAAGAACCCACACUGGGGACGAGGAGAAAAAGAAGAGUUUAGAUUGAAGUUGCUGUGGAAGUACUACAAUCACAGAGGCGAUGUAUUCUUCAUACAGGUCUCUAAGAUAAGGAGCCCAUACAAAAGAAAUUGGACACACAGUGGGUGAAGUACAUCAUUUUCAUACAAGACCUCAAAAAAGCUCAGCACAAAGGACAGACGCUUUGUCACCCCUACUGGAGGAACAGCCACCCCUGUACUAACCAGAGCCAUCUCCUGCAGCAGCCCAACUGCUCCGAGAAACUCGCUGCUCCCCCUCCUCCUGACCCACCACCUUCUCCUGCUCCCUCUAAGCUACAGGGAGAAACAAGGCAGAACAAGACACCCCAUUCCAACGACACACAGCAGCUCAUCCAUAUAAGCCCAGGACAGGAGGCUGCAUGGAGCCAACCUUCUUGCCAGAGCAUGGCAGCAGGUAGCGCAACUAGCACUUCAGCUGGGACUGGAUUUGACCUGGCAUCAAGUACACAGUGAUCCCACAGAUCUCUGAAAGGGAAAAACAAAUGUGAAGAAUACAGCUGAACAGCAACCUACGAACUCAACAGCGAAAUCCAUAUGUGCGACCAUGGAGAGGCCUCAGCCUGUUUUGAUGCUGCAGAGCGUGUGCAGGCAGGGAGCAUCCCGUGAGUGCCUCACUGCUAUCCAUGACCCUGGGCAACUUCUCCCUGCCCAACACAGACAUAACAUCCUCACACAUGCUAUUACUGCUGCUUAAAGGAAAUCAAUAUUAGGAAAUGACAUAUUUUUAGAUGCAGUUCUGAAUCAGGAAAUGAGAAAAUCAGCCAAUGCUCCAGCAAAGCCAGAGCCAGACAGUCCACACUAACAAACGUUCCAAAAAAUUCACAAUUUAGAACCAGUACUUCAUAUCUUCUACUGUCAUUUCAAAGCCAUAAAAAUCUCAACCUCACUUCACAGAGGAACACACCCAGACUGCUAUUUAAACUAAAACAAGGUGACUGCAGUUCUCUUUUUUCCAAGCUAUAGUUCUUGAAUAGCCCUAAAACGUCAUGCUCUCAGUACCUUAGAGCCAAGGGAAGUCCAUCUCACCAAGGAUACAUUUGAUACCACAAUCAAAAAAGCUUUAUUAACUGUGGUUCUGCUCACUUCUUUUUAAAAUACUGAAUAAUUGACUCAAACAUGGAAAAGAAACUUUCUUCCCUACAUUCAAGUCUACUUCGCUGGGUUAUAUUCUCCUGACAUUACUUUCAAAGUGACAACUUGCUUUCACAUAUCUCAAUCAACAAUGUUAAUAAAUGAAUUAUUCAGUGCUUCCAGA